rnacentral:rRNA from 1 species
UACGUAGGGGGCAAGCGUUGUCCGGAUUUAUUGGGCGUAAAGAGCUCGUAGGUGGUUCGGUAAGUCGGAUGUGAAAUCUCCAGGCUCAACCUGGAGGGGUCAUUCGAUACUGCCGUGACUAGAGUUCGGUAGGGGAGUGUGGAAUUCCUGGUGGAGCGGUGAAAUGCGCAGAUAUCAGGAGGAAUACCCGUAGCGAAGGCGGCACUCUGGGCCGAUACUGACACUGAGGAGCGAAAGCGUGGGGAGCGAACAGG